GCUUUUCAGUGCUGUUGAAGUCCACAUGAAGGCUGGUGGAGAGCUGUGAUGCACGUUUUCCUGGCUUCAUGGAGUGAAGUCUUGCUUCUUGUGGCUGUGACCCCAGAAUCAGUUGCCAGAGAAAUAAAUGUGAUGACACAGAUUAAAUCCAGGACUUCAGCACUGAAUCGAGUGCAAGGAACAAAGGAGAAGUGUCAGGGAGAAGCUGGCAGCUCUGAGGGGAGCAGGGUGAAGCCAAAUACUGAACUGCAUGCUGGAGGCUGCUGUUGACUACAAAGGGAGUUGAAGUGACCAGCUGAGAUCAGCUUCUAAAUGGGUAAACCCAGUAUUAAAGGCAGAAAUCAAAGCACAGGACCCAUGGGAAGCGACGUUUCAAAUGUACACCAUUGCUUUUCUUCGUCAUUGUUCUGAACUGUGCACCCUCUGCUCCUGACAGUGCACCCACAACAAGAUAAGGAGUUUGAGUACGUAAGCGUCUUCUGUGGGAAGAGGAGCAACAGCUGCCCACCAAAUUGGAAGAAGAUAUAAUGAAUGCAUCUUCUCUGAAUCACAAGAAAAAGACGAUUUCAACUUAAGAGAACAUUUUAAUCUCAGUCAAAAUGGGGCAUCUUCACCAUAAGGUUGUCUGCAGUCAUGGUAUGGCUUUCCUGACUUUGCUAAUUCCUUUGGGCUUUAAUUAGAAACACUUCAGCAACACUUCCUAAAGCAUGCAAAUGUUGGGGCUCCCACUAACAGUAUUAUUAAGAUAGAGUCUUAAUUCAUUUUUCUAUGGUGGCAGUAUGUUUCUUCUUCAGUUUAUUGUGGCAAACACUGUCAUUUCCACUUCUUCCAGUGUCUGAAGCUUUCUGCUUUAAUAAAUGCACAUAUUAGAUGCUAUUCUCUCUCAGCUUGAUUGGUGUAUAGUGUCAGAAAAAAAGAAGGUCAC
ensembl:lncRNA